rnacentral:rRNA from 1 species
UACGGAGGGUGCAAGCGUUGUCCGGAUUUAUCGGGUUUAAAGGGUGCGUAGGCGGCUAAUUAAGUCAGCGGUGAAAUUCCAGAGCUCAACUCUGCGAACUGCCAUUGAUACUGGUUGGCUUGAGUACAGAUGAGGUAGGCGGAAUUGACAGUGUAGCGGUGAAAUGCUUAGAUAUUGUCAAGAACACCUAUUGCGAAGGCAGCUUACUAAACUGUAACUGACGCUGAGGCACGAAAGCGUGGGGAUCAAACAGG